UGGGGAAUUUUGGACAAUGGGGGCAACCCCGAUCCAGCAAUGCCGCGUGUGUGAAGAAGGCCUUCGGGUUGUAAAGCACUUUUGUCCGGGAAGAAAUCGCACCUGAUAAUACCGGGUGUGGAUGACGGUACCGGAAGAAUAAGGACCGGCUAACUACGUGCCAGCAGCCGCGGUAAUACGUAGGGUCCAAGCGUUAAUCGGAAUUACUGGGCGUAAAGCGUGCGCAGGCGGUUGUGCAAGACCGAUGUGAAAUCCCCGGGCUUAACCUGGGAAUUGCAUUGGUGACUGCACGGCUAGAGUGUGUCAGAGGGGGGUAGAAUUCCACGUGUAGCAGUGAAAUGCGUAGAGAUGUGGAGGAAUACCGAUGGCGAAGGCAGCCCCCUGGGAUAACACUGACGCUCAUGCACGAAAGCGUGGGGAGCAAACAGG
rnacentral:rRNA from 1 species